GUUUACAGACACACAACCCCCAGAAUGAAGGAGAGCCCGGGACCCCUGGAGGAAGCGUUACCGGAAAAGGUGGAUUCAGCUGCCUGCUGCAAGCCAGUAGUGAGGUAGGAGGAGAGAUAACAUGAGAAAGAAGCAAGCGGAGAGAGGAAGGACCUAACUACCACCAAGAAAGAAGUACUGGGAGAGGAUCACAUCCCUUUGAACCCAGGGUUCCUGCGCUGAGAACCUCCCAGACCCAGGGAGUGUUACCUGGGCAUCCAAAGUACUCUCCCCCUGGGGAAUCUUCAAGGGAACCUGUCGGACCUGAAGCUGAUACUGCAGGAGUUAGGGUGGCCCAACUCAACUUUGUUCAGUGGCAGCACCUGGAAGUAUGAUAUAAGUUGUGUAAAAUAGCAUCCCUUUUGUAGUCUGUUGUAAUUGUACUCCAUUUUGUGAUGUCUUGUAGAUUCCUGUAAUGGGAUCCCUGGUGUCUCAGUGCUUAAAGCACUUGGCUAACCCAAAAAGAUCAGCAGGUGUGGCGGUCUGCUUCUAUAAAGAUUUACAGCCUUGAAAUCCCAUGUUUUUCAGCUUGAUGAGUGAAAUCUACAUGUCACUGUUAUUUGCUUCUCAUCCUUUGUGUAAAAACCAAGUCAAGGAAUGCUCUAUGCUUAUUGGUCAUAUGCAUUUAUUCUGUAGUUAACUGUUGGCUUGUAUUCUUUGCCUAAUUUUAAACUUUCUUCAGUUUUAUAGAUUUCAGUUUAUCCUAUUUCAUUGUAGAGUGUUAAAUCUACAUAGAUAUUGUUACUGGUUUUGCCUAAUGUUAUAGUUUUUCUUUUAUGUAUUGAAUCCCAAUUUUCUAUUUGCAUUUUACACUGGGAGUGUGGGUCUUUCACCAUAUAGAUAUAUAUAUGAUUUUUAUGAAGGAAAAAUAAAUUAAAACAAGUUAGAUAUUGUUUUGUAUUUUGCCUUUUAAUUUCCUUAAAAUAUAAUUGUUCCUGGUGGUUCAAAGGAUUUGAGCUCACCCAGAAGCUCCACAUAGCCAAGAAGAACCUAUACAGCAAUUCUGCUCUGAAACACGUGUGGUCACCAUGAGACAGAAUCGAAUGGACAGCAGUAGUUUUUUCUCUCUGUCUGCUUUUCUCUUUAUUCCCCCCUCUUUUUUUGCUUAGUUCCUUCCUUCUCUCUGUUCCUCUGCUCACUCUAUCUCUCCCUCUCUCUACGUAUCCUUUGCUUUGCCUUCUUCACCUCCUUUCUCCUCCUUUCCCUUUGGAUUCCUCCCUGACUCAAUUUCGAGUCACAGCAACCCCGUGUGACAGAGUAGAACUGCCCCAUAGGGUUUUGUUGGCUGUAAUCUUUACAGAAGCAGAUCACAAGAUCUUUCUUCUGUGGAGCCGCUCGCUGGGUGGGUAAGAACUGUCAACCUUUUGGUUAGCCGUCAUGUGCUUAACAUUUGUGCCACCACGACUUCUUACCAUUCGCUAAAUAACUUCUCUUUUGCCACAGAAUUUUUCUUCCAUUCUUAUCAUAAAUUCUCACGUGGAGUUCAGUUUGUCUCUGGACCUCCCAAUCUGUUUAUUGAUUUAUUUGCCUUUCUCUGCUACCAAAAUCUUUGAAUUAUUCUCACUACACUUUAAUAUCUUGGCAGGUCUAGUGAUGUUUAGAAGAUCUCUGGCUAAAUUUAUGAGGUAAUGUUUCCCAACUGUGGUUUGGUACACCCAGGAUAUGCUAAAAGCUUGGGAGUGGGCAAAGGAUCUGAAUAGACAUUUCUCCAAAGAAGAUACAUAAGAGGUCAAUGUGCACAUGAAAAGAUGCUUGACAUCAUUAGCUGUCAAGGAAAUGCAAAUCAAAACCACAGGGAGAUACCACCUCACUAGGAUGCCUAGAAUCCAAAAGUCAGAUAAUAACAAGUGUAGGCAAGGAUGUGGAAGCAGUAGUCAGGAAAUCAAAUGAUUUAUUGCAUUGGGCUAAUCUGUUGCAAAAGACCUACUACUCCGUGUCUCACUGGCCCCGGGCCCCAACACCUCAAGUAGAGAAGGCAUUUGUCUUCCCUAUUGCCAUUUGGCAGGUAAGGAAACCAAGUUUCUUAGGCUUCAAAGAGUCAGAUCUUCACCAGCUUGAUUCCAAAGUGUGGGGCUGCUGUUCAGCAGUGCCAGUGGAAUGGGAUCAGAUCCACUGCCGAAAGCUAAGGGAGUGGGGCUGCCACACCAAAGGGGCUGAAGAAGGGGCUCUGCCAGGGCUGAGGGGGUAGGAUUGCCGCUCAGACAGACUAGGAGAAUGGGGCUCCACAAAUCCAAAGGAACAGAGUUCUGUUCCAGUCCUGAAAGGCAGAGCUGAGGCCCAGAACCAAGGGGCCUCCACUCUGAAUCCAGAGAGUGUGGCCAACACCCAGAGCCUAGAGGGCAGGGCCAUUAGCUAAAUGUUCUCCUCAGAGAACAGAGGAUUAUUUUCCAGUGUUGAGAGUUAAUACAAUGUGUUCUGCUGACUUGCUUGGUGCCUGUUGUCCCUUCUUUCCCUCCAAUUUCUCACAUUUCUAACGGAAAUGUCUACCUUCUGUUGGAAGAAGAUAACUUGAAUUCUAGGUUGCACAGACGAAGAAGAAUUUUGCCCCAGGUUGGAAUUUGGACUUGGAGUUAAUUUAAGACUUUUGGAAUGAUAUGAUAGGGUGAAUGUGUUUUACAUAUGGCAAGGACAUGAAUUUUGGGAGACCAAAGGGUGGAAUGCUGUGGAUUAGACUGUGUCCCCAAAAAUGUGUAUUCAGUUGGCUAGGCCAUGAUUUCCAGUAUUGUGUGGCUGCCCACCAUUUUGUGAUCUGAAGUGAUUCACUUGUGUGCUGUAAAUCUUAACUUCUAUGAUGUUGAAGCAGUUUAGAGGCAGUUAUGUUAAUGAGGCAGGACUCAAUCUACAGGAUUAGGUUGUGUCUUGAGUUAAUCUCUUUUGAGAUGUAAAAGACAGAAGUGAGCAGGAAGACAGGUGGAUGUCUUAAGACCAAGAAAGGAGCAUGUCUUUUGGUCCUGUGUUCCUAGAGCACAGAACACUGAAGAAAAGGACCUUCACCCAGAGCCUACUGAGAAAGAAAGCCUUCCCCUGAAACUGGCACCCUGAAUUCAGAUUUCUAGCCUCCUACACUGUGAAGGAAUAAAUUUGUUUGUUAAAGCCAUCCAAGUGUGGUAUUUCUGUUAUACCAGCAGUAGAUAAUGAAGACACUAAGCUACUGGAAACCAGGACACCUAGCUCUAGGGAAUUUCAGAGCUAAAGCCUUGCUAGGGAGCCUCUUUUAAAAGCCCAGCACCUCAGAGUCCUCUGGUCAAAGGCACUGCCUCAUUGUUCAAGGACCCCGGCCUUGGGCAGGGCUUUCUGCCUGGGCACAAACUCAUAGGGACAACUUAGAAUACAGCACCCAGCAGACCAUUAAUACCAUGGACGGUUGGUAUUUGCGAAACGUUAAAAAACACACUCACAGUGCCAGACCCAGGGUGAAAUUGCUGGGGGUGCAGAAAACAAACCUCUGCAGGCUCCAGAAAAGGACUGAUUGGGAAGGGUCCGUGUCAUCCUCUACACGUGACAUAAUGCUCAUCUCUUGGCCAAUCCAGAUGAGGCUCCAGGUGAGCCCUGAGACCAUAAUGGGCACACACACUCCUACUUUGUGCCUGACCUGAGAAUGGAAACCCCAAAACCUCAUUCUUUCACUCGUUUAACAGUUAUCAUUGUAACACUGUGUAAAUUAUUAUUUCUAUUUUGACAAGGCUAUGAAGGAAGGGUGCAUGGUCUGGAGAGAGUUUAUAAUAGGCUUCCUCCAACCUGGAUAAUCAGGGAUGGCUCUUUGCAGAAGUGACAUUUAAGCUGAGACCCAAAGAAUGCCUAGGAAUUACUUAGGUGAAAGGACAAGGAAUGAGGAGGGGAGAGUGGGGAGGGCAUCCCAGCAGAAGGGACAGCCUGAACAAAGAGCCAGGGUGGGGAGGAGCAUAGAGUUUGGCAGAGCUGAUGUCCCUCUUGAUUUCAGUGCUAUGAGUCUUUUGUCACACCCAGAGAGCAGGGACGAGAGAAGGUGGCCUCAGUGCACUGUUGGUUCCUAUGAGCUCAGACCUCUACCCCAGAAGCUGUGGAUAACUGCUGCUUCCUUCAUCCCGUGUGGACAGUGGUGGCUAGUAGCAUAAGCUGUCUGAGCCUGCCCACUAGGCUUCCUGGGGGUCCUGUAGACAUUGCCCCAUAUGUCGCUUGCUCCCUGCAUCAAUCUAACUGAGGGCUCUCACUGACCACAGCUAAUUCUUUUCUGCAGAAUAUAAAGUCUCUAAACCAAUCCUAUACUGCAGUGAGAAUGAAUAACCCAUGACUACGUACAAUGAUACAAAUGAAUCUUGAAAAGAGUUUUGAGCAAAGAAACCAGGCACAAAAGACAUACUGUAUGAUUCCAUUUGUAUAAAAUGCAAAAACUGACAGGGUACUUGGGACUUUAAUUCCCACCUUCCUUUGGCACUACAGUUAUACAGACUGGAGAGGAAAAAAGAAGGGAUGGAGAAAGGGUACUGCGCUAAUCUAAGGGCGAGGUGCCAUUAUAGGUGCUCGGGGGCAUGGUGAGUUAACACACACUCAGAUAUAAUUUUAUCAUAAUCUAAAACCAGGGCAGCCAUAGGAUUUAGGGGGGCACCAGAUAGUGGCAAAUGGUGGCACACCCAGCAAUUGCUGAGAUUUCCUCCUCAGCCACAGCUUGGGACAUGGUAACUAGGCUAUUAGAUGACCAGUCCCAUCUAUGUGGGAGGUGAGAUGGUUCCUUUUUCCCAAUUGUAAUCACAUGGGUCCCUUUUCCCCAGCGAUUUCAACAUCUGAGUGGUAUCCUUUCUUAUAUUUCACACAGAAAUACGUGCCUGUAUUGGAUAGAGAACCAUUCUGGAUAAUAAUAGAAAAAUCACGAUUUUUAGACUAAGUAGUGUUUGCCAUGGGGGAAGCUUGAGGAAAAACACCAGCUGCUUCCCAAACUAGAGACUGCCCUCCUCCUAGGGAUUCUUAAGUCCACUUAAUAGGACCUACAAGGGUUAAAAAAGAGAACACAAGGAAGAGUCAGGGUAUCUCCUACAUGUAAACUCAAGGUGCCUCCAGACUGGAGGAUUGUCAGACCCUGGCUUAACCCUUUUUGGGUCGAGGCAGGCCUGACCUGGUACAGAAAAAGAAUAAGGAUUAGAAUCAUGUUUGAGUCUUUGAGAAUCUCUACUUUAAGCCCUGAACCGGGAUGCAUGUAUGCAAGGAUUCCUCAGUCUCUUUGCUAGGUUCUUCCUGAGGAGGUGGGGCUGCCUUCACUCUAGUAUGAUGCACCCAAGCAGUCGCUCCGGCCAGCUUCACAGACGAAUGAGUAGUUAGAAGGACCUCAUACAAUCCCAGCCAGAUGGGGGCCAGUUUAUCUUCAGGAUGCUGAUUUUCUGAACCGUUAACAGGACCCAAUCUCCUGGCUUGAACCUAUGGAGAGGCACAUCAGAAGCGAAGGACAAAUGAGAAGAAGCAUAUUUGUUACUGGUAUUUAUAACUGCUCCUAAGCAUCGGACCCAAUCUUUCUUUUCACCUUCUAUCAUGACUGAGGUGGGGAAAGUUGACCGUUUCAGGAAUGGUCUCCCAUAUAUAAGUUCAUAAGGACUCAACUUAAGUCCGCUUCGAGGGGCCACCUGAAUCCUAAGCAGGGCAAUUGGUAAUACCUGUAGCCAGGUGGAGUGGGUUUCUUGGCAAAGGUUGGCAAGAGUCUCUUUCAAAGUAUGGUUCAUCUUUUCAGUCUUUCCAGUAGAUUUUGCUCUCCAUGCCGAGUGUAGUUUCCAGUUAAUGUCUAAAGCCUUACUAAGUUCUUGAUUCACCUGGACCACAAAGGCUCCCUCACUGUCGCUCUGAAUUGAGAGUGGCAAGCCAAAUCGGGAAAUAAUUUCUUUAAGUAAUGUCUUAGUCACUUCUUGAGCUUGUUCAGUCCUACAAGGGAGAGCCUCUACCCACCCAGAGUAUGUGUCCACAAAGACCAGCAAAUACCUGAAGUUUCCAGCUGCUUGAGGCGUCACCGUAAAAUCCACUUGCCAAUCUUCACCCAUGCUCAUCCCUUGAUGUUGGAUCCCUGGCUCCACUGGGUGAGGUACUGUCUUUGGAUUGUUUUUAGCACACAGUGGACAUCUUUUAGUGACCUCACAUACUGUCUUAAGAAUCUUUGGUCCUGCAGCUAUUCGUUGGAUCCAUUCGAGACUUGCGUCCCUCCCACAAUGAGUGCUUUCAUGCAGAGUUGAUAUUACGUUACACAGUUGGUUUUAUGGUAACAAUGUUUUCCCUUCAGAAUUAGUCAGCCAACUAGAGCCUGGCAAAGAUUGAAAUCCCCAUCCCUUCUCCCUAUUUAAAUCUUGGGGGGUAUAUGACGGCUGGAGGAACUCAUCAAGGUUCAAAUGGGGAGUCAGGGCUAACUCCUGUCCCGUCUCUCCCCAUUCUUUUAAGGCUGCCCUUUUUUGCUUCCAUAUCAGCUUUUCAAUUUCCAACGGCCUCAAAGGAUUGCCCCUUUCAAUGUCCUGGGCAACAUACCACUGCUACCUGGAGAGGGUCAUGAACGGCUUCUAGGAGCUCAAGGAUCUCAGACACAUUUUUUAUUUCUUUAUUAGCGGCUGUCAGGAGUUAUCUCUCUUUCCAUAAGGCCCUGUAGGAAUGUAGAACUAAAUGGGCAUACCUGCUGUCCGUGUAAAUGAUCACUCGCCUCCCUUUUCCCAUACGGAGAGCCUGACUGAGAGCUAGGAGCUCAGCCUUCUGGGCCGAAGUUCAUUUAGGCAAGGGGACAGCCUCCAAGAUGUUUGUCAGGGUUACCACUGCAUAUCCUGUUACUCGACGUCCUUCAUGCAUAAAGCUGUUUCCAUCUGUGAAUAUUUCAAUGUCAGUAUCCUGCAGUACAUCAGACAAGUCAUGUCCGCUUGAAUAGACUUCUUCAAUGACUUCCACACAGUCAUGUAUCGGCGUGUCUUCAGAUAUUGGCAACAACGUAGCGGGGUUUAAAGAGGAGGCAGCCUUUAAAACAACAUUAGAGUUAUCCAACAGGAUGGCCUGGUAUCGUCUCAUGCGGCCUGCCGUAAACCAGAACCCCCCUUUUUGUUCUAAGAGAGGAAGAACUGCAUGCGGGGUAUUUACAGUCAGCUUUUGGUCGAGUGUGAAUUUUUCAGCGUCUUGGAGCAAGUCACAAGUUGCGGCUACCGCCUGCAAGCACGGUGGCCAUCCCCUAGCCACGGUGUCCAAUCCUUUGAGAAAUAUGCCACAGGGCACCGAGCCAAGCCCAAAAUCUGAGCCAGGACUCCCACAGCAAUCCUCUGCCUCUCAUGCACAAACAGUUCAAAGGGCUUUUGCAAAUCAGGCAAUUCUAAUGCUGAGGCCAUCAUCAAUUUGUAUUUAAUUUUUUCAAAGGCUUGCUGAUAUUCUUUAGUCCACACUGAAGGUUCCUUCUCUUCCUCUUUCAGGGCUUUAUAAAGGGGUUUUGCCAAGACUCCAAACCCGGGAAUCCAGAUUCAACAGAAUCCAGACAUUCCCAGGAAUCCUCUUAGCUGUCUCUUAGAGACUGGGACUGCCAUCCGCAUGAUAGCCUCUCUUCCAUCUGGGAGGAGGUCUCGCUGUCCUUGAGAAAUCUGGAAUCCCAGGUAUUUAACUUGUGGGAGAGAAAUCUGGGCCUUCUUCUCGGAUACCCGGUAUCCACACUCUGCCAAGUGAUUCAAAACCAAGACAGUAUUUUGAAAGGAGUCUUCUUUAAUUUCACUGGCCACCAAAAUGUGAUCCACAUAUUGUAAAACUAACCCUCGAUUCAAUUUUAAUAACCUCAAAUCCUUUGCCAAAAUUUCUGCAAAAAUAGUGGGAGAAUUUUUAAAUCCCUGGACUAGAACUUGCCAUGUAAGAUGUUGUUUCGGCCCAGUAGCUACAUCAGUCCAUUCAAAAGCAAAUAGUUGCUGGGGUCAGGGUGCAAUGGGAUGCAAAAGAACGCGUCUUUCAAAUUCAACACUGAAAACCAUUUACACUGGCUGGGUAUGGUAACAAGGAGGGUGUAGGGAUUUGGGACCACUGAAUCUAUAUCUUCUACAAUUUGGUUAAUUUUCCUCAGAUCCUGUACCAAUCGGUAUUCUUUUGUUCCUGGUUUCACUACCGGCAAGAUGGCGGUAUUAUAGGGAGACCUAUAAUACCUUAAAAAAACAGUGGCUAUGUAUCGAUGUACCAAGGGUGUUCUGCCUUCUAAAGCUCCUUUGUGAAGCGGAUACUGUUUCUGAUGGACAACUGGGGCUCCGGGCUUUAAGCACCACCAAGGAGGCGACCUAAGCCAAAAGGCACUUUUAGAGAAACAAAAGGAAAAAAGGUUCCUGCGAAGAAUGAUAAUUUUCGUCCACUAGAUGGCAGCCUCGUCACGCUCCAAAAUGUUCAAACUGUGACUGGAAUCCGGAAACAAAAGACAGAAAGUUCAAAGGACACACUGAAAAUGUAACCCUUUCAGGGUUUGGCGAAAACCCAUCAGGGGCUUUGCCCUGCGCUCUUUCGGAUCCGAGACCCCAAAACUCCACGGCAAACAGCUGUUCAAAGUUUAAUUAGCCAAGAGAAAAGAAAGAAAGAUGAGCAGGACCACCCUUCACAAGAUGGAGCCACUAGGUGGCACUCUGGGAACGCAAUUGGAAACCCAACGUUCCAACAGGCUUCCGAGGACAGUAAAGGUGGAACGCGAAGUCCAACAAGCUUACAGGCUGA